UGGGGAAUUUUGGACAAUGGGGGGAACCCUGAUCCAGCAACGCCGCGUGAAUGAAGAAGGCCUUAGGGUUGUAAAGUUCUUUUAUCCUUGAGCAAAGACUGCGGGUUAAUAACUUGCGGUGAUGAGAGUAGAGGAAGAAUAAGCACCGGCUAACUACGUGCCAGCAGCCGCGGUAAUACGUAGGGUGCGAGCGUUAAUCGGAAUUACUGGGCGUAAAGGGUGCGCAGGCGGAUAUGUAAGUUAGAUGUGAAAUACCUGAGCUCAACUUGGGAGGUGCAUUUAAGACUGCAAGUCUAGAGUUUGUCAGAGGGGGGUAGAAUUCCAAGUGUAGCAGUGAAAUGCGUAGAGAUUUGGAGGAAUACCGGUGGCGAAGGCGGCCCCCUGGGAUAGAACUGACGCUCAUGCACGAAAGCGUGGGGAGCAAACAGG
rnacentral:rRNA from 1 species